UGUACUGUAUUAUUCGGGGACAAGCGUGCAUUUGUGCGCAGUGGUGAUCUUUUAGACUGUACCGACUGGAAUUUAGCGACCACUGACCGUUUUAGAGACCGUACGGUCGGCGGCGGGCGUCCCCUCCCAGUCCCGAUCCUCGCCUGAGGCGAAGGCCGGAGACGCCGCAGAGGGGAGCGCGCGUCGCGCGCACCCCCCUCCGCCGCAUUCCAUCCGUCCCAUUCACUGCCCGCUCGCGAUGUGCGGACGGCUGACGGGGGUGUCGAGUGUGUGCCGUGCGGUGUUGGUGUCGUCUGCCGUCUCCUCUUCCGACCUGAAGCAUUCGAGAAUCUCGGCUCACCAAUAAUAUGCGAUGCAAGGCUCGACGGACGACAUCCUCGCUCAAGAUGUGUACGAGUAUAGCUGGAUGCAGACGGAAAGGCGGCCUCGACAAUGGUGACAUGACGUGACAUCAACGGUGUGAUGGUGUGAUGUGACUGUGACGUGUGGAUGACUCGAAAAGUAAAGGGCUGUUGAUAUGUGUUCUCAGCUAUACAUUUUUUAUGAAUACAUAUUGAUUUUGACGUUUA
rnacentral:lncRNA from 1 species